GAUGAAGAACGUAGCGAAAUGCGAUACGUAAUGUGAAUUGCAAAUUCGGUGAAUCAUCGAGUCUUUGAACGCACAUUGCGCCCCCUGGUAUUCCGGGGGGCAUGCCUGUCCGAGCGUCAUUGCUGCCCUCAAGCACGGCUUGUGUGUUGGGCCCCGUCCUCCGAUCCCGGGGGACGGGCCCGAAAGGCAGCGGCGGCACCGCGUCCGGUCCUCGAGCGUAUGGGGCUUUGUCACCCGCUCUGUAGGCCCGGCCGGCGCUUGCCGAUCAACCCAAAUUUUUUAUCCAGGUUGACCUCGGAUCAGGUAGGGAUACCCGCUGAACUUAAGCAUAUCAAUAAGCGGAGGA
rnacentral:misc_RNA from 1 species